rnacentral:rRNA from 1 species
UACUUAUUAGAUUUAAGCCAACCCUAGCAAUAGGAUUAAGGUUGAUUCAUGAUAAUUUGUCGAAUCGUAUGACUUUGCGUCGACGAUGGUUCAUUCAAAUUUCUGCCCUAUCAACUUUCGAUUGUAGUGUAUUGGACUACAAUGGUUUCAACGGGUAACGGAGAAUUAGGGUUCGAUUCCGGAGAGGGAGCCUGAGAAACGGCUACCACAUCCAAGGAAGGCAGCAGGCGCGCAAAUUACCCAAUCCCGACACGGGGAGGUAGUGACAAUAAAUAACAAUACAGAACUUUCGAGUUUUGUAAUUGGAAUGAGAACAAUUUAGAUCCCUUAACGAGGAACAAUUGGAGGGCAAGUCUGGUGCCAGCAGCCGCGGUAAUUCCAGCUCCAAUAGCGUAUAUUCAAGUUGUUGCAGUUAAAAAGCUCGUAGUUGAAUUUUUGCGCUGUGUGUGGUUUGGGCUCGCGCUCAACACUGCAGAUGCGGUGCUUUCCUUCUAGGGAGCCAGUGUGCCAUUCGUUUGGUGGGCUGGGGAACUAGGACAGUUACUUUGAGAAAAUUAGAGUGUUUAAAACAGGCGU